ACCGUUAGAGUGUGACGUUAGUUUGAGUGACGUUAACAAUGUACGGGACCAAAAAGAGCUAUUUUUUUUUUUUUAUCCUUAUAUCUGUUCUUCCUACACAUGAUGUUUUAGCUCAAAAUAAUAGUAAAAUAAAAUAAUAAAAAAAGGACAUUAAUGGGAUUAAUUAUAACGUCAAAAACAUGCUAAAAAUUAAACCUUCCUCCUGUGUUAGCUUUUACUAUGCACCCACCAUGUUAAGGGUCGGUUUUGACCUGUGUCUUAAAUCAGCUGUAAAUUACACUAAAAACAAUUCUCUAUCCUCCAGUUUGGUUCUCAUCUCUAGGUUACCUUGUUAUCCAUAAAAAAUUGCGUAUAAUAUUUUCUGUUGUGGUCUUGUGGGCCUUUCUUUGUCACUAUACCCCUCACACAGACAUCUAUACUGAAUUGACCUCACAUGUCUGGAUUUGCCUGAUGGUUUUUUUUGUUUGUUUUUUUGUUGUGCAGGGUAAAAAUUGGUAAUAUGAGAAUUUCCUAAAUCUCACAUGAUUGGAAGAGGAUCUGACUGUCAGUGUGAUGCCUGCCAGUGCACAUAUGAUUUCCGUUUUUGCUCUUAUUAUUAGAUAUUGAUCUAACCGGGUCAACAGCGACCUCAACACGACAAGUGCCAUAAUUUGAUCGAGAGCAUUUUAUAAUUUUGUCAAUUCAAUUUUUUUAUUUUUAUCUAGUUGAAAUAGAUGUUCCUGACAAAGUCAAAAGUCUUGAUGAAAAAAAGCUAAUUUAAGUGGUUCUUUUAAGCAUUUAAAAUAAAGAACGGGUCGGUGCAGACCCUAACACAGAAGGAGGGUUAAGAUAUCCUUUAAAAUUAUUCACUUUCAACUUAGUGAGAUGUUUUAACUUAAUUCUUAUUCUGUUCAGUAGAAUAUCUAGUAUUCAAUAUUUUAAACUACAAAAUGCCAUUUCCCAGACUGCUGUCAUGAAGUGGAGCAGGACCUGGUGGUUAUAUGUGGGGAAUGCAAAGUUGGUGAUUUUCCGCCCAGGUGUCAUGAGGUUCAACAUCUGUUCUCUGGAUACUCUCACCUUUGACACUGUCCAUGCAUGCACAUUAGAGAUAGCGUAUGUGCUCAUAUGCAGCUGAAGAACAGGUGGAUUUUGGUUCAUUUUUAAGCUGAUCAACUACAGCUGGAUGGCUAACAAGAUGAACAACAUAAAAAAGGCUGACAGGACAUGGGAGUCUAACUGCUUAUAUUUAAUGUUGUAUAAUAGUAAAUUGUCCCUUCAACGCAGAGUCAAAAAGCCUUUUUCCUUCCAUUGUACCUGUGCAUGGUCAUGCCGGGGUCACUGCUGGAGUAGUCGGCUUGUAAAAAAGGAGCUGUUCAAACUAAAGACUUUACUUCACUGAGGUGGUUUAAGGGCAAACGAUCCAGGAGUAGGAUUUGUUCAGUGCACUUUUUUGAACUGCACCUCUGGGAUUAAGCUUGAAUUUUUGUUUGGGACAGGAAGGUGAGUUAAUGUUACAUUAUGAUCCCAGCUCAGGCCACAAAUCUAAAACAGGUGAGACAGCAGCAUAGCUCUGUGUAUGUGCUUCUGGGUGCAGCUCAGGUAAAAACCAUCAAAUAUAAUUUUUGAUGUCUUUGAUGCAAUAAAGAUCCUCAACCCUGCAGAUAAAUUAGACUUUUAUAAGAUUUUAAAUUGACUGAUCUUGCCAUUGUAUUUAGUUAUUUAUGUUCAUAUGGCUGCUUAAAGAGAAGGUGUAGUUCUUCUCUAGCACCACCAGGCUUCCCAGUGUCACCAUGCCCAGCUCUGGGAAGGAAAUACUACUCUUUGCUGCCGGUCAUGUGACUCCAAGUGAUGAGAUGGGAUGGUAAUAGCAUUAUCAUUCUACUCCACAACCACUAUCUCCCUCUGCCCUUGUAGUUAAGGGCUAAAUAUAGCCAGGUAAUCCCUCUGCUCUCAUAGAAAUACAACACUUCCUCUGUUGCAAAGACUACUCUCUCCUAUUUCCUACUUCCAGUGUUUCCCCAUCCCUGGAAAAGAUCAUCUUAAUCUCACUAAAGCAGACAUACUGUUGCAUUUCACUCCUUCUCUACAGGUCGAAGUGGGCCUUUGUUGCUCAUAUGUUUGGCGUCAGAGGUGGCCUGUGUACUUGACCCGGAUCCGUGGCUAUGAGUCCUUGUGCCCCACGGUGUGAUGGACGGGAUGUGCAGAAGAGAGAAGCGUGGUAAGUUGGCGUGCGUUCAUCGGGAAGGAUAUUGAUGAGUCUCAGAGAUCAAAGAGAGGAUGGUUUGGACAGUCACAGUUGUUUUUCAGGGUUCAUUGAUGGUCACUCACAGACAUCCAAAGACCGAGCGAAGAGUUCAUUUUCAUCUUUUCUACUUUUUUCUCUAUUUUUGAUCUAAAAUAAAGAUUGUGAUUACUUUUUAGCUAUCUUGUAUGUGCUCCAGGAUAUGUUAAAAAUGGUCAUUCGGUGCCUAAAUUGUUCCAGCUGCCUGAAUUAGUUGUGAACUUGCACUUUCAGUUCAUUUAAAAUCGACAUUUAAUAAACCUAAAAUCAUUGUAGGACCAAAUUCUGUCAUUGAUUCAUAAUGUGCUAUUUUGAAGCUGUGAUAUGAAGAGGACAGGAGAGGAUACUGGCAGCUGGUAAGAUCUUCCAGUACACUGAAAAAGUCGUGAUAUCCCGAGGGGUUAAAUUUAGAAAUGGCAGCACUGAGUACCUGAGUGUACCGGCCCACUUAAAGCACUUUCACUGCAGCAUCUUCCAGGAUGACAUUGCAUUUGGGAAUAAGUUCAGCCUGGUUCAAAUUCUUGGCUGGACAGCUUGUGCUUUUGUUCUGGAGCUGUCUGCUUCAGCCAGCUGGCAGAGUUUUAUCCUGCAGACAAAAGACUUAAAUCUUAAUUAUGUUUUGAUGUAAAUGUAUGUGUACAUUUUGGCUUGUCGGCUGUUUAAUCUGUUCUCUAACCUGAGAGAAAUCAGGCUUUGCUUGGAUAAAAGCCCUAAUGUGACUGAUUAUAUUUCACUGUUACUUUAAAGGAUGAUUUUUUAUACAGACCAGGUCUUUCUCUCCCUCAUUACAGCCCCUUCUUCCCGGAACAAUGAUCUCCCGAGGUGCUUCUUACAUUAGCAAUAAGACUUGUUUAAACUUAGUGAGAUGACGGGGUAAGACAGAGCUGUCUUUGUCUGGCAGAGCUCUUAAACCACUGUGUUGCCCCUGUAUUUGUAGAUUAAAGUUAAGGCUGCUCGGACAUACCUUGAAAAUGACAUGUCAGAGCAGAGGUGUCUGUCAGGAGCCAGAGAGAUGCCAGUCAGAGAAAAGAAGUCCUGGGAGCUGUGGGGAACUUCCUCGGGGAACAAUGGUGUAAUCAUUCAUCAACAACUGCCAAGUAUGAAGUCCGAGGGGGGCCUGCCCAUGAAAUUCCCAAUACCACAGCUAUUAGACAGGACCAGUCAGGAAUGAGAGAAAUGUCUUAGAAACUGUACAAACAAGAGGAAACGAGGGUAAACAAUGACUUUAGCCCAGAUCUACAACAGAGAUCAAAGGAGUGAAUCCCAAAAACAAUGUGAGGCACUAAAUUACAAAAGAAAGGGUCAUUUGGGGUUUUAAGAUCCAUCCACCAUUUUCCAAAGUAUAAAAAGAAUAUGCAAAAUUGAAUUUUGAUGUUAGUUAGUUAGUUAGUUAGUUAGUUAGUUAGUUAGUUAGUUAGUUAGUUAGUUUGUUAGUUUGUUAGUUUGUUGUUUGUUUGUUUGUUUUCUGUUUAUUGUCCCUUCUUGGACGAUAAUAAAAUAACUCACUAACUAACAUCCUUAUGGCAUUAGUUAGGUAAAUUAGUUGGGGUUUUUUUAUUGUCCGUUCUUGGACAAUAAAAAAUACUAAGUUACUAACUUACCAACUAACUAACAUCAUAAGGAUGCUGGUUAGCAAGUAAGUAACUUUGUUUGUUUGUUUGUUUAUAGUCCCAUCUUGGACCAUACAAAAGCAACUCAUUGACUAACCAACUAAAUUCCUUAUGAUGUUAGUUAGUUAGUUAGUUAGUUAGUUAGUUAGUUAGUUAGUUAGUUAGUUAGUUAGUUAGUUAGUUAGUUAGUUAGUUAGUUAGUUAGUUAGUUAGUUAGUUGUCCUAUCAUGGACAUUAACUAAGUUACCAACUAAUUAACUACCUAACUAACAUCAUAAGGAGGUUAGAUAGUGAGUGAGUGAGUGAGUGAGUGAGUGAGUGAGUGAGUGAGUGAGUGAGUGAGUGAGUGAGUGAGUGAGUGAGUGAGUGAGUGAGUGAGUGAGUGAGUUAGUUAGUUAGUUAGUUAGUUAGUUAGUUAGUUAGUUAGUUAGUUAGUUAGUUAGUUAGUUAGUUAGUUAAUUAGUUAGUUAGUUAGUUAGUUAGUUAGUUAGUUAGUUAGUUAGUUUGUUUGUUUGUUUGUUUGUUGUUUGUUUGUUUGUUUGUUUGUUUGUUUGUUUGUUAAACGCUUCUUGGACAAUUAAAAAACUAAGUAACUUACAUCAUAAGGAUGUUAGUUAGUUAGUUAGUUAGUUAGUUAGUUAGUUAGUUAGUUAGUUAGUUAGUUAGUUAGUUAGUUAGUUAGUUAGUUAGUUAGUUAGUUAGUUAGUUAGUUAGCACAUGUGUUCCCAGAAGAUGUAUCUUAUUUAGCACAGGUUAUUCCUCAUUUCAGGUUUUUAGUUAGUAUUUUUACAACUGAGAUCAAACAAAGUGAAUUUCGGAAAGGAUAUUUUGUGGUACCCAGAGGAUGAGUCUUAGAAACAUUGUCUCCAUUCGAUACAUCUUAUGUCCCCUGAGGAUGAAUACUGUUGACUGGUUAUCUUUUGAUUUCCCUCAGCACUGAUAUGUGGUUAAUAUCUUAGCUUUGGUCAAUUUCUUUGUGAUCAGAUGCUGUAGAAUUAAGAGCAGGUAUGAAUGGUGCCCAGAGGAUGAAUCCUGACAAUAACAUGUACCCCUUGAUCUCAAAAAGCCAUGAUAUUUCAUGAAAAAUAUCUGUGUUCUCCAGGAUAUGAACCAAUUACCCUUCUGUCGCCAUUUGACUUCAUUUAUAUCCACAAACAAUCAAAGUUUUAACUUCACAUUAGUUCCAACAUUUGCCCCAGAGGACGAACCCAAAUUAUAUUUUUACUGUUUUUAAUGGGAAAUAGUUCCAAUCAUACUGAAAUUCUACAGGUUCCUCAUACGCUCAGUUUCAGCAGGUAGAUGGGUCACCUUUAAGGGAUGCGGCUUUGUUCCUUAACCAUCCUCUGUCAGCAGGAAAGCCAACAGGUAAAUGGAUUAAGUGUAUAAAGAAUCAAUAGCCAAUCACUUAGGCCAGUGGAGUAAAGCCAAGAGCUUAUGCUUGGUUGUGGAUGAGGCUGAAUAAUAGUGAGUGUGUGUGUCAGCAUCACCAUUUGGGUGGAUGGAGCUGGUGAGCGUACUUAAGGACAUCCUCUAUCUCUUGAGAACGUUAUGAAAUCCAUCAGGAAUGAAUUAUGUCGUGAUUUAGCCUCUUCUGCUCCAAGUGCUCACAGCUAAUAAAUGACAGCAAGCUAAUGAGGACAAAUGAUAAUGGGGCUGUGGUCCGAGUACAGAGAGCUCUGAGGCUCACGGUCAUUGCUCUGUUCGGUUUCAUUGUGAUGCUGCUUCUGUCUCCGUUUCAUAGCUCACAUGUCCUUCACUCCUGGCAGGGAAAAGGUGAGUCUUUGUUUAAUACGUGGACGGACCGAGGACAUCCAGAAGAAGCACAUUGAAGGUUUGACGGUGAUCCCGAUGGUCGGCUGUAACGUGAACCCUCUUAGGAUCGGUUCUUUUAGUAGCUUGUAAGUGUAAUUAUGUUCGGAGGUAACAAUGUGUUUAAUGGAUGUGUAAGUCAUCCCACUUUAUAGCGUGUAUUAGUUGUCCUUAAUGCGAUCUCUCGCCAGUCUCAUUACAAUGAAAAAGUGGCUGUAAAGACAAAAUGAUCUGCUCGUGAGCAAUUUUGUUAAUUGACUUGAGAUUUAUCACUCAGAUGUUCUUUUAAGACAAUACAGCCUCAUUUAAGUGAUAGAGUUGUCCUUCGUUUGAAGAUGUUAAAUGGCCAAAUGAAAAGGAGGGGUAGCUGCUUUAUCGGGUCAUCCCAUUGGUCAGAUUAGUUUCUUAAAGGACAUUAUUAAAAGACAGGUUUUUACUUCUGCGCUGACUCAACUCCAUAUCUGUUAUUGCCUCAACCCAACCGCUUUACCUCAUUGUACAUCAACCAAAACAUAUGAAGACAUAAAUGUGUUCAUCUGGUGUUCACUUUUAAGCCCCUAAAUUUAAAGAGGUUCAAUAAUAAUCCACUUUAAUCCAGUUUAUUCCAUUAUUGACCCAUUUUUGUUCCUCUGUUACUCAUUAGACUAAUAGUUUGAUCUUCAACAUUUAACCGUCUUUCAGUUGAGCUUACACAAGUCUUUGUCCACAGAGGGAUAACCUCCAGAUGUCUGGCGAUUAUCCCCUGAUGUUUUGUUUAUUAGGGACCCACUGACGAUAUGUUCGGCACUUGUUUCCAUGCUCCAAAUUCCUGAGGUUACAAACCUACAUCACCAGACGAUAGGAGACAUGAUUAUUAUGCCUCUUGCACUCAGAGGGAUUAACCAUUCACUGAAAACACAUUUGCAUUUUGGCAGGACUCGUGGACCCGCUAUUAUGGCAAAGGUCAGAGAGUGCAUCACAGAGUUCCUGGAGCUGUGUGCCAACAUUCAUUCAUUCAUUGCAGUGUUGAAAUGGAUCCAUGAAUGUGCCGUGAGAAAUAUGGACAGCUUUCAGUUUGAACCCUCUCCCACAGGAUUGAGUUCUCUGAAAUGAACUUUCUAAGUGCCGAAAACUUUUACAACAGCCACUAAAACUCGACAAUAGGGAUAAUCUCGUAAUCCAGGUUUCUCUGUGGGAAACAAGACUGACCUGUGCUGGUGGGAGGUCUCUCUGUAGGUCAUUGUUAAACUGGAAUCCUGUCCUGACAGGUUACAUUUUUUACCUUUGCCUGAGGACCUUUGCUUGCCUUGGUCAUGGCCUUCCUCUCUUGGUCACAUAUGAGCCGGUAUACAGCCUGAGAUUCUGGAGUAGAAGUUUUUACGUUACAGGUAGCAAAGCUUUUAAAGUCAGAGCCCGAUGGCACUGAAACAACCUGCCUACAAGAAACAGGUCCACAGACUCAGUCAGUGCGUUUACAUGCACAGCUUGAUCGGACUAAGCUCAUAAUUCGCUUUUUUUGCCGAAAUCAGACUUCUCUCCUUGUUCGCAUAUACAUGCAGCUGAGAAAAUUGAAUUAUUGACAUGAACAUGUCCUCCUUCCCAAAACUAGGGGGCGAUAUGGGUCUUUUCAACAACAGCAGGUCCGUGCCAGACGUCAGAAGUGGCUACAACUGCUAGUGGGCAUUUUCAAGUAAGAAGAUGGAGCAUCGUACAGCGUUGUUUUUGUUGUACAUGGUGUUCACACCACUUUUUCUGCAGAUGAGAUUCACACUACUCCUCUUCUCUGGUGUUUUUGUUCCAGGUUAGGGGGGCGUGGCGCACAUGCAUUGUCCAUCAUACUCCAAAGUUUUUUCAAAGUGAUGUUCUUCGUGGACCGAAACUCACUUCUGACCACAUACUUCGCAGAGUACUGCGAGGUAACUUGUCCAAUCAAAAUGCAGAAAAAAGCCCAUAUAUUCUGGGUAAGGAAUCCAAACGCCUGGUCGUGUCUUUGGUUCACAGGCGAUAGGACGAGCUCAAAGCUCCAGACCCGCUAAGAAAACAGCUUUGAAGGAGGCCACGGAGCACAGCUGAGGCAUUUCUCUUUGCAUCUUUGAAGGUGUGAAGGAAAAAACACAUCCUCCUGGUGUAUGUGAAGGGGUGGCUGUUGCCCUCUCCUGUUCAGCCAGUGCCCUUCAGGGCUUUGAUCUUGUCCGUGGCAGUUCAAUCUGGGCCUCAGCUGUGGGAAAGAGCAACAGGGCUUAACAGUACAGAGCCCAAACAGAGCCCAGUAGAUAGCAGGUGCCGGAGCCGUGACCUUCCCAUCCCAGGCUAGCAUUCC